rnacentral:rRNA from 1 species
UACAGAGGUGCCAAGCGUUAGGCGGAAUCACUGGGCUUAAAGCGCGUGUAGGUGGACGGGUAAGUAUCUUGUGAAAUCCCACGGCUCAACCGUGGAACUGCUGGAUAUACUGGCGAUCUUGGGCCAACUAGGGGCAACUGGAACAAGCGGUGGAGCGGUGAAAUGCGUAGAUAUCGCUUGGAACGCCGAAGGUGAAAACAGGUUGCUGGGGUUGUGCCGACGCUGAGACACGAAAGCCAGGGGAGCAAACGGG